GCCAUUGUAUCCAGCCAUUGCGUCAUUCCAGCAGAAAUACUGCACUAAAAGCUAACAUGGUGGUGAUGCAUGUAUUAGCGACUUGCCAAGCUGGCGCUUGGAUCUCUUCGUAUCCCUCUUCACACAUUUGACACUCCCCCAAAAAUGUAAAUCUUGUCGUUAACUAGUUCCACGGCUGCGGAACGGCUGGUCGCAAGUGAACUUGGA